rnacentral:lncRNA from 10 species
GAAUGAUCUAGCCUGAGAGGGACGGUCUAGCCCCCACAGCAAGACCCCAGGAUGAAAAUGUACCCUAACAAAAAAAAAAAAAACAUAAUUAAUACAAUUGGUCCUUUAAUAUUUUAUCUUACUCUGAGGAACCCUCAGACAUUGGGAGUGGAGAUUUUCACACAGGAGGGCAUAAGUUGCCCUAAGUGACACAGAACACGUUCUGAGAGUUAGGAAGAGAAAUACAGGUAUCUGCCUAACCAGUACUUGCAGUCCUGCCCAUAACCCAGUUUUCCAUCAUGCUUGGUGUCUUAGUCUGUCUGUGUUGCUACAUAUCUGAGGCUGUGGGUAACUUAGAAAGAGGCUUAUUUGGCUCAUGGUUCAGCAGGCUGUGCAAGCAUAGCACUGGCAUCUGACCUGCUUCUGGUGAGGACUAUUUGCUGUGUCAAACAGGGCAGAGAAGGUCAAGGGCAGUGAGCCAAACCCGAGGGACGGCUUGGCUUUAUCACAACCAUGCUCCCAGUAACUAGUGCAUUCCCCUACAAACCAAUCCAGGCUUGACACAGCAAGAAUGAAUGGUAUCCAACCAUUCAGGAGGGUGCCCCCAUGACCCAAACCCCCACCAGGCCCCCUCCCAGCACUGCCACACUGAGGGUCAAAGCUCAACAUGAGACUUGAUGAGGGCAAACCAAUCACAUCCACAUCACAGCAUAUGGUAUUACUCAAGAAAAUCACUUUGAAAUGUUGGGGGUCCAAUGAUAAUAUCCUUGAGGAGUUAUAAAGGUGAUAAAGGGAUGAGUUUGACAAUUAUCAGGAUGGCAGGUCUGUAGUUCUGCUGCAGGAGGGUAUGAAGCAAACAGUUAGUAUGUGUAAAGAAGAGGCUCUGUGUGAAGCCAAGUCAAGGGAGUAAGGAGAUGAGAUGGAAAGCUGCAGCGGAGGAGAAGGCACUGGGGAGACAGUGGCCUUCCCAGAGGCUGAUAGGAGGCGGGCACCUCCUGGUGAAACAAAACAUUUUGGUAUCAAUUAUUGAGACUUCACAGACACUACUAACUCCUACCAGAUUUUCCUACAGGCAAGGGGUGCAGGGCUGUGGGUUUUGGUUGAGAUUACACCAGGAUCACGGGUUAGCGGACAGCAAGCUCAGCUCAUCACAGAAUCUCAAAUAUCAAAUUUGUGCCUUAGGAACCCCAGUCCAUGGGCAUCGCUGCUGAGGAGGUUCUGAAGAAGUGCGUGAAGUCACCUCCAGUGAAGGGAGGGGGAGUCGUCGGAGGGGUAGUCGUCUUAAUUGAGGUCUGUGCUGGGGUGAUGUCUCCACCAACAGUGGGCAUAUCAGGCAGGGUGGUGUCUGGGCUACCGCCUGCUCAGGAUGCUGUCACUAGGAGUCCGAGCACCAGGAUGAUGCAGUCCUGGCGUCACCUGUGACCCACAAGUUCUGGACUCAGGCAACUGUGAGUCAGUUCUAGCAGAGACCUGCAGGACUUAUUUCAGCCAAUCAGGAUGUCACCUGAGACCAGUCCAGGAGCCGCUACAACCCCACAAGCUGGUUCCCGCUAAUCUGAUGACCUUUAGUGUCAAUGCCAACAAUUAAAGGUGGCAACAGAUGAGCUAAAUAGCCACACUCAAUCCCACAAGAGAAACAUGGCACAACCCACUCCUCUCCACAACAAACACGUAACAUGAAGGUGCAUGGCUCUGUCCAUCCAGAAUUUCAAACACGUGACAUGAAGGUGCACAGGUCUGUCCAUCCAGGAUUUCAAACAUGUGACAGGAAGGUGCACGGGUCUGUCCAUCCAGAAUUUUAAACACGUAACAUGAAGGUGCAUGGGUCUGUCCAUCCAGAAUUUCAAACACGUGACAUGAAGGUGGACGGGUCUGUCCAUCCAGGAUUUCAAACACGUAAUAUGAAGGUGCACGGGUCUGUCCAUCCAGGAUUUAUUGUUCACCUCGUUGUAGAUUACCUUUAUACCGUGGGGAUUCAACACCACAGAAACAGUCACCAAGCAGCUGCUGCCCUGAUGGCCACAAAAAACAUAACCCAGGAUUGCUGCAGCCAGAGGACACACAUUCGUGUCACUCACAUGAAGUCUUGCUCUGCCACUGUGUGUGUUUAAGGGCCUCAUCCAAGAAGCGCCAGUGACAGGGCCAAGCGCCACAGAACAUCAGGACCAGCCGUGUCCCUGGUCUGUUUUCAUGGUACACAAAGGAGCAGCACACACACAAGCAGCAGCUGCCCCAGGAGUGCCGGGUCGCAGCAGCUGCCCCAUGAAUGCCGGAUCACAGCAGCUGCCUCAUCAGUGCCGGAUCGCAGCAGCUGCCCCAGGAGUGCCAGAUUGCAGCAGCUGCCAGGACCGCUCUGCAUGCUGUGAAGAGGAUCUGGAGGUCAACAAGGACACUCAGGGCUCUCACCCGUCCGGCACUGCCUAAGGUACAGGAAUUCCCUCCUCCCCACGUGGGGGGUGGUGGUUCUCCCUCCACGGCCAUGAAACGGGGGCAUCUCAGGGUACAGACCUCGCCCCUCUCCACUCUGCCCCUCCUUGCACCCUGGUGUUUUAUCUGAAGGGAUCAGGUAUGGGAGAGGAACAAGGGCAUUUUCAUAAAAUGUAGAGCUGUGUUAUGCCCCAACAUUGGCCAGUGUGGGACCCUACAGGUGGGUCAUGCCUAAGAGCAUGACUAACCAACCAGAGCCUACGCUGCUCAUACAGGAUCCCAUCUGGAUACUUAAGACUAACCAACCAGAGCCUACACUGCUCACACAGGAUCACAUCUGGAUCCUCAAGACUAACCAACCAGAGCCUACACUGCUCACAGAAUCACAUCUGGAUCCUCAACACUAACCAACCAGAGCCUACGCUGCUCACACAGGAUCACAUCUGAGUCCUCAAGGCCUACUGUUAGCCAGGCUGCGACGUGGACACUGUAGCAACCAGACUGGAGGAUUUCUACAGGGAACAGAGUCCUCACUCCAAGAAUGAUCAGUGCAGCAUCAUAAAGAUUCAAAAUACGUCUACAGAACCCCCAGAAAGACAUGUCUCAAGUUAGCCCACAAGGUUUUAGAACACAGGGAAGCGACUGCUAUCUUCCAUACAUUCACAACACUUCAAGUGUCAAUCACCACGUUUACUAAAGGGUGAGGAAAGAUGUAAUGUAAAAAAUGACUUCCCAACAAUUCUCACCCUCCUAAGGUUUUUCUUCAUUGUGA